CCUACGGGUGGCUGCAGUGGGGAAUAUUGCGCAAUGGCCGAAAGGCUGACGCAGCGACGCCGCGUGUGGGAUGAAGGUCUUCGGAUUGUAAACCACUGUCGGGGGGGACGAAGUUCUGACGGUACCCCCAAAGGAAGCACCGGCUAACUCUGUGCCAGCAGCCGCGGUAAUACAGAGGGUGCGAGCGUUGUCCGGAAUCACUGGGCGUAAAGGGCGCGUAGGUGGCCUGAUAAGUCGGGGGUGAAACGCUGCGGCUCAACCGCAGCACUGCCUUCGAGACUGUCAGGCUUGAGCACGGUAGAGGCUGGUGGAAUGCCCGGUGUAGCGGUGGAAUGCGUAGAGAUCGGGAAGAACAUCGGUGGCGAAGGCGGCCAGCUGGGCCGUUGCUGACACUGAGGCGCGACAGCGUGGGGAGCAAACAGGAUUAGAUACCCUAGUAGUC
rnacentral:rRNA from 1 species